rnacentral:ncRNA from 1 species
UGGUUACAGAGAGACGUGGAGCUAAGAUGGGAAUGCAGUGUAAAUCUGCAACUAUACCCGUAGCUGUGAGUUCCUUUUUUGGUACAGCCAACAGUGUCACUGGAUAAACAAGUUCUUGCGAAACAAGAUUUUGUUGAUGUUUGGGAAGACCGCGCUGUUACAAGGACAAAGUCAGAAGACCUGCCAAGUUUGU